GACUUCCUCAAACCUAGCAUCACACUCAGAUGCUGAGUUCAGAGGCCUGGAACCCCAAUCUUUGCUUUAACUAUGAGAUCAGUCACAGGAAUAACUAUCCUCCUAACUUUGGGUAUUAUGGGUGAUGCUAAGUCCACCCAGCCAGCGGCAAUGGAGAGUACUGCAGAAGAAACUGUGCGUCUGCCCUGUAACCACUCCACAAUCAGUGGAAGUGAGUACAUACAUUGGUAUCGACAGAUUCCCCACCAGGGUCCAGAGUAUGUGAUUCAUGGUUUAAAAGGCACUGACACCAAAGGAACGUUCACUCUGAUCGUCGCAACAGACAGAAAAUCCAGUACCUUGGUCGUGCCCCACGUCACUCUGAGAGACUCCGCUGUGUACUACUGCAUCGUGAGAGAGGCACAGUGGCACGUGUGGGGCUGCACCUGUGCAAUAUCUCCCUGGCGGAAGGAAAGCAUCAGCAGCAUCUAAAGAGCCACUGCACAAGAAAGAGCACAAACCCAAUGGAAGGAGAAGAAGAAGAAAAGAAGAAAAAAAGGAAAAGAAGUAAAGAGAAGACUGAGAAAAUCAAGGAGGAAAGAAUUGAAAGGAGCCAAGAAGAUGAGGAAGAAGCGUUUACUUUGAAAAGACAAAAAGCUUGAAGGAUAUAGAAAUUCACAGUUGUGAACCUGCAAUGGAGGGGAAAGGAAAUGAGAAUUUGCCACGACUCUGUUUUAAUCAAAUGUUGCUUCCUAAGUAGUCUCACUAAAACAGCGAACAACCAUUUGGUUGUCCUAAAGACUUUUUUUCUUUGGAACCAGU